CCUACGGGAGGCAGCAGUGAGGAAUAUUGGUCAAUGGGCGGAAGCCUGAACCAGCCAAGUAGCGUGCAGGAUGACGGCCCUACGGGUUGUAAACUGCUUUUAUACGGGAAUAACGCGCCUUACGUGUAGGGCUUUGCAUGUACCGUCUGAAUAAGGACCGGCUAAUUCCGUGACAGCAGCCGCGGUAAUACGGAAGGUCCGGGCGUUAUCCGGUUUUAUUGGGUUUAAAGGGAGCGUAGGCCGCAUGUCAAGCGUGUUGUGAAAUGUCCGGGCGCAACCCGGGCCUUGCAGCGCGAACUGGCGUGCUUGAGUCGGCGGAAAGCAGGCGGAAUUCGUCGUGUAGCGGUGAAAUGCUUAGAUAUGACGAAGAACCCCGAUUGCGAGGGCAGCUUGCUGCAGCGGAACUGACGCUGAUGCUCGAAAGCGCGGGUAUCGAACAGGAUGAGAGACCCCAGUAGUC
rnacentral:rRNA from 1 species